AUUGAACGCUGGCGGCAUGCCUUACACAUGCAAGUCGAACGGCAGCACGGGUGCUUGCCCCUGGUGGCGAGUGGCGAACGGGUGAGUAAUACAUCGGAACAUGUCCUGUAGUGGGGGAUAGCCCGGCGAAAGCCGGAUUAAUACCGCAUACGAUCCACGGAUGAAAGCGGGGGACCUUCGGGCCUCGCGCUAUAGGGUUGGCCGAUGGCUGAUUAGCUAGUUGGUGGGGUAAAGGCCUACCAAGGCGACGAUCAGUAGCUGGUCUGAGAGGACGACCAGCCACACUGGAACUGAGACACGGCCCAGACUCCUACGGGAGGCAGCAGUGGGGAAUUUUGGGCAAUGGGCGAAAGCCUGAUCCAGCAAUGCCGCGUGUGUGAAGAAGGCCUUCGGGUUGUAAAGCACUUUUGUCCGGAAAGAAAUCCUUGACUCUAAUACAGUCGGGGGAUGACGGUACCGGAAGAAUAAGCACCGGCUAACUACGUG
rnacentral:rRNA from 1 species